UACAGAGGUCUCAAGCGUUGUUCGGAAUCACUGGGCGUAAAGGGCGCGUAGGUGGUUCUGUAUGUCUACCGUGAAAGCGUACGGCUCAACCGUAUUUUGUCGGUGGAAACUGCAGGACUUGAGGCUGGGAGGGGCUGGUGGAAUUCCCUGUGUAGCGGUGAAAUGCGUAGAGAUGGGGGAGAACACUCGUGGCGAAGGCGGCCAGCUAGACCAGUUCUGACACUGAGGCGCGACAGCGUGGGGAGCAAACAGG
rnacentral:rRNA from 1 species